rnacentral:lncRNA from 1 species
AAACCUUGCAACUCUAGGUUUCAAGUGGGGUGCUACGGUCCCACCAAUUUACAUGCCACCUCAUCUAACAGUUAUUGGCGACACAUAAAAGGAUGAGUGUACAACUCUUGUACAAUGCUUCUCAAGCAAAUUGCAGCGCUAUCCGGUCUCUAAGUCAUAAAAGCCUCACCUAACAGUUAUUGGCCCCAUUCCUUAGUUAAGUCGGACCCACCGUAUAACCGCAGAAGUAAAGCCGUCAUUAAGUCCCUCACUUAACAGUUAUUGGGCCCAACCCCAUCUUUACCCCUACAACAUCUCAUGCCUAAUAGAGAGGUCCAGUCCUCCGAUGCAAUUUGCCCACUGUAUCCAGCCGAGACAAAUCAA